rnacentral:rRNA from 1 species
GUGCCAGCAGCCGCGGUAACACGUAGGAUCCGAGCGUUAUCCGAAUUUACUGGGCGUAAAGCGCGUGCAGGCGGUUUGGUAAGUUGGACGUGAAAUCUCCCGGCUCAACUGGGAGGGGUCGUUCAAGACUGCCAGACUAGAGGGCAGUAGAGGGAGGCGGAAUUCCCGGUGUAGUGGUGAAAUGCGUAGAUAUCGGGAGGAACACCAGUGGCGAAAGCGGCCUCCUGGGCUGCACCUGACGCUCAGACGCGAAAGCUAGGGGAGCGAACGGGAUUAGAAACCCCCGUAGUCC